rnacentral:rRNA from 1 species
CGGCGAACGGUCGAGUAACACGUAAGCAACCUGCCCUGCAGUGGGGGAUAACAGCGGGAAACUGCUGCUAAUACCGCAUAGGCAUAUUUCUGGGCAUCCAGGGAUGUGUAAAGGCUAGACUGCUGCAGGAGGGGCUUGCGGCCUAUUAGCUAGUCGGUGGGGUAACGGCCUACCGAGGCGACGAUGGGUAGCUGGUCUGAGAGGAUGGUCAGCCGGAUCGGGACUGAGACACGGCCCGGACUCCUACGGGGGGCAGCAAUCAGGAAUAUUGCGCAAUGGGGGAAACCCUGACGCAGCGACGCCGCGUGCGGGAUGAAGGCCUUCGGGUCGUAAACCGCUGUUGUGGGAGACGAAUGACUGUCGAUGAGGCAGUGGAGACGGUAUCUCACGAGGAAGCCCCGGCUAACUACGUGCCAGCAGCCGCGGUAAUACGUAGGGGGCGAGCGUUGUCCGAAGUUACUGGGCGUAAA